AUGGCGGCGGUGGGGGCCGAGGCGCGAGGAGCUUGGUGUGUGCCUUGCCUAGUUUCACUUGAUACUCUUCAGGAAUUAUGUAGAAAAGAAAAGCUCACAUGUAAAUUGAUUGGAAUCACCAAAAGGAAUCUAAAUAAUUAUGAGGUGGAAUACUUGUGUGACUACAAGGUAGUAAAGGAUAUGGAAUAUUAUCUUGUAAAAUGGAAAGGAUGGCCAGAUUCUACAAAUACUUGGGAACCUUUGCAAAAUCUGAAGUGCUCAUUACUGCUUCAGCAGUUCUCUAAUGACAAGCAUAAUUAUUUAUCUCAGGUAAUCACAAGUGAAGAAGCUGAAAGACGGAGACAGUUCUAUGACAACAAGGGACUCACAUAUCUCUUUGAUCUGGACUAUGAAUCUAAUGAAUUCACAGUGGAUGCAGCUUGAUACGGCAAUGUGUCUCAUUUUGUGAAUCACAGUUGUGACCCAAAUCUUCAGGUGUUCAAUGUUUUCAUUGAUAACCUCAAUACUCGUCUUUCCCAAAGAGCACUGUUUUCCACGAGAACCAUACAUGCUGGAGAAGAGCUGACUUUUGAUUAUCAAAUGAAAGGUUCUGGAGAUAUAUCUUCAGAUUCUAUUGACCACAGCCCAGUCAAAAAGAGGGUCAGAAGAGUAUGGAAAUGUGGAGCUGUGACUUGCAGAAAUUACCUCAACUGAACUUUUUCAGGAAAUAGAGCUGAUGAUAAUUAUAAUUUUUUUCCUAAUGUUAACAUUUUUAAAAAUACAUAUUUGGGACUCUUAUUAUCAACAUUGUAUAUGUUUCAAGACAUUUGCCAAAUGUAUUACCGAUGCCUCUGAAGAGAGGGUCACUGGGUCUCACAGACUGAUUUGAAGUCUACAUAUUUAUGGGGCUUAGAGACCAAACUAAUGGAAGGCAGACUAUUUACAGCUUAGCAUAGGUGUACUUAAGUCUAUGUGAACAGAGAAAUGCCUCCCGUAGUGUUUGAAAGUGUUAAGCUGAUAAUGUAAUUAACAAUUGCUGAGAGAUCAAGCAUUCAGCUUGCCAUACACCUCAAAUUCGGAGAAACAGUUAAUUUGGGCAAAUCUACCAGUUCUGUUUUUGCUACUCUAUUGUCAUUCCUGUUAAUACUCACUGUACUUGUAUUUGAGACAAAUAGGUGACACUGAAUU